CUUUGUUUCUCGUUCAAGACAUCCCAAAUAGUGGAAACCUUAGUGAUCUUCUUUAGGGGAACUGUAUAUGUUGCCUCCUAAUUGUAGAGCUUGAUGUCGACAGGAAUCUUUCCCAGCUCGUUCUUUAGUUCCUUUAUGUCGAUUACGUUUGAUAUAGCACCAAGGCUAUCGAAAAGUUCAUCGUUGGUAAGGUCUUCCUUUUUUUGCGCUAAGUGGUCAGUUGUAGGUCACGAACAUUGUGCAAGGCAAAACAGAAAAGCGCAAUAUAUUGCCUACAAUAGCGAGCUAACGCAAAUACAGCGGUUUGUGCAAGUUUACCAGCACAACAAUGCAUGUAGAGUAAACUAAAUUGAUAUAUAAUAAGAUAAAGGAACAAUAGACCCAUUGCAC